UACGUAGGGUGCAAGCGUUAAUCGGAAUUACUGGGCGUAAAGCGUGCGCAGGCGGUUUGCCAAGACAGAUGUGAAAUCCCCGGGCUCAACCUGGGAACUGCAUUUGUGACUGCACGGCUAGAGUGUGUCAGAGGGGGGUAGAAUUCCACGUGUAGCAGUGAAAUGCGUAGAUAUGUGGAGGAAUACCGAUGGCGAAGGCAGCCCCCUGGGAUAACACUGACGCUCAUGCACGAAAGCGUGGGGAGCAAACAGG
rnacentral:rRNA from 1 species